rnacentral:rRNA from 1 species
UACGUAGGGUGCGAGCGUUAAUCGGAAUUACUGGGCGUAAAGCGCACGUAGGCGGAUUGUUAAGUCAGGGGUGAAAUCCUGGAGCUCAACUCCAGAACUGCCUUUGAUACUGGCAAUCUAGAGUCCGGAAGAGGUGAGUGGAACUCCUAGUGUAGAGGUGGAAUUCGUAGAUAUUAGGAAGAACACCAGUGGCGAAGGCGGCUCACUGGUCCGGUACUGACGCUGAGGUGCGAAAGCGUGGGGAGCAAACAGG